rnacentral:sRNA from 1 species
AAAAAAAAAAAUAUGUCAAGAUGGCUUCAAAACAUUCUAAGUUUAGACUUUUUAUAAACAUUUGUCUAAAGCUCGCGCUAGUUGUAAAACUAUUUAUUAGUUUGAAAAACAACAGAAUAACUAAUUACUUAGAAUCAAUCAACAGACUCAAUGCAUAGUAUGUUUUUUAUGAACUGACCAAUUGGAUAGUGAUCUUAAAUGCUUUAGGAUUCUGUUUGAUUACAUCCCCAUAGUCGAGGUGGGAAGCACCAGUUUUCCUUGUGCCAGUUGCAUGUUGCCCAUAGAGGAUGACUUUGGCGAUUGAUUCAUCAUCCAUGUGGUGGACAUGACCAAAACAGGCUGGGAUGCCGGAGGGUGAUGCGUAUACUGGGGAGACCUGAGCAAGCUUGUUACUUAAUCUUUUGUGCCAUGAAAUUUUCAAGAUUUGGAAGAGUCAUAUGCGAGGACAAAUUUGUACAAGUGAUCCUUCUUUCAAAGUGCAUUUAGAGCAGGGAAUGAAUUAUUUAAUCAGCCAUUAAACCAAUGUGUUAGCAAAAUCCAGAUGAAAAUUUUCAACCUCAAAAUGGAAGUGAUAUGGAAAGAUAUAAAUUGACAAUAGACUCAGUGCCAAAAUUUUAUAUGUCUGCUUAUCAAGAGUUUCAGACUAAAAAUGAAGAUAACUUCUUGUGAGGAUGCAAAUGGUCUCUUGAUGGUAGCUGUGUUCUGACAAACAGCAAUGAUAACUAUACCGGUAUUAGAAUCUUUAAACCAUUUGCAACACAAGAUUUGGACAAUGCUGCAAACAAUCAUCUAACUUUGCUUGGUUUCCUGGAAUUAUUUGAUUUUUACCAGAGCUUUGUAGAAUGCAUUAGCAAUACAAGGUGGCCUACAGUACCUAUAGCUUGCCGAUGUCAAACAGUGAAAUACCCUAACAGUGAUUCUCCAUUAGCCUUCUAUCUAGCCAGUAAGCCAGCAAAAGAAACUAUAGUGGCAAAAGAAAGAAGAGCAGAAAGAGUGGCAAACUUCUGAUGGAGAUCACUAACCAGAAAGAGGGCAUUUUGGAGUUCGUGAAUUGGGCAUUAAUGUUAUAAUUGUCGAUGAAUCUCAGACACACUCAUUAGGUAUCUCUUUGAACAAUCAAACCAUUCUUUCCUGUCCCAAAGGUGGCUUCCACUGUCCUCACCCCAAUAGUGAAGGAUCUUACAAGUACAGGAUUUGUGUGAUUGACGGAGUUCUGGAGAUAAAUGCUGAAGAUAAACUACAGAUAAAGACAAUGGAGAAGAACACUACGGUUAGAUUUGAGCAGAACCAGAGGUUGCAGUUCAAGGCUGAUCUCCUCCAUAAUACAAUGUCCUCAAAAAUAAGAAGUUGAUUUUGUAAAUACUGAGAUAUCCUUACGACAGCUGUUCACUAGAAGCAAACAUUUUCUUUUUUAAAGAUGGAGGUUUAUUGAUCCAUCGUGCAUUUGUACAUUUAUUGAUUUUAUUCAGUGUUUGAUUUUAAGCAGCUAUUAAGCUCUGUUAUUUUCCAAACUGUGUAGGGCCUAUAUGUAGUGUUUUAACUU